rnacentral:lncRNA from 1 species
UCAACAUUCACGCUCGAAUCUAUGUGCUGUAUUCAUAUCCGUCUUUUUUAUUCGCAGGAUAUCUGGCUACCUACAGGGCACACUUAAUCCGGACAAUGUCGAUCGCAUGUUUAUUUUUAAUCAAGGCAUUCCGUACAAUCAGACGGAAAAUGUUGUGUAUCUGAGUACGAAGUUAAGGUGUGCUGUGAUUAAGGUUACGACACUUCCCGGAAUGCAAACAAUCUAUGACCUCAGAGUGCGAAACUUCUCCAUUACCCGGGGCCCUAGUCGAGGCUGUAUGCGAAAAUGGACGAAGCUCACAAAUAAAUCACAUAGUAUUUACGCACCGAUAUGUCAAGGCAUACUGCACAGCAAGACAGAACCAGAAUUUAACACUGGAGCCAAACCAACGCCGAAAAACGAGCACCGUCAUUAAGUGUCAGUUGCUCUGUUGACAAGUGUAAACUGACAUGUUGGAGGCUAGUGCACAAUUGUUAUUCAUAUUCAGUAAAAAUUUGCAGUUUCAUUGCAUGCAAAAGUACGACAUCAAAGUCCAACCAUCUCCUGUGCUCAUUACUUUUUUUCGUUUAACUAUUCAGGCAAAGCUUAUCCUAGUGUUUGUGGAACAUAAAAAUAAAUAAUGAACUUUAUAAUCACAUAGUCUACUAAA